UACAGAGGUCUCAAGCGUUGUUCGGAUUCAUUGGGCGUAAAGGGCGCGUAGGCGGCUGGGUAAGUCGGGUGUGAAAUCUCAGGGCUCAACUCUGAAACUGCACUCGAUACUGCUCUGCUUGAGGACUGGAGAGGAGACUGGAAUUCACGGUGUAGCAGUGAAAUGCGUAGAUAUCGUGAGGAAGACCAGUGGCGAAGGCGGGUCUCUGGACAGUUCCUGACGCUGAGGCGCGAAGGCCAGGGGAGCAAACGGG
rnacentral:rRNA from 1 species